rnacentral:rRNA from 1 species
UACAGAGACUGCAAGCGUUAUUCGGAUUCACUGGGCGUAAAGGGUGCGCAGGCGGUCGGGUGUGUCAGAUGUGAAAUCCCGAGGCUCAACCUCGGAACUGCGUCUGAAACUACUCGACUAGAGUACUGGAGAGGGUAACGGAAUUCACGGUGUAGCAGUGAAAUGCGUAGAUAUCGUGAGGAACACCAGAGGCGAAGGCGGUUACCUGGACAGUUACUGACGCUGAGGCGCGAAAGCUAGGGGAGCAAACGGG